GAUGAAGAACGUAGCGAAAUGCGAUACCUGGUGUGAAUUGCAGAAUCCCGUGAACCAUCGAGUCUUUGAACGCAAGUUGCGCCCGAAGCCAUUAGGCCGAGGGCACGCCUGCCUGGGCGUCACACGUCGUUGCCCCCCCAUCUACUCCUUCGGGAUUGCGGGGGGCGGAUGAUGGCCUCCCGUGCGCCUCGUCGCGCGGUUGGCAUAAAUGCCAAGUCCUCGGCGACGCACGCCACGACAAUCGGUGGUUGCGAAACCUCGGUUGCCCGUCGUGUGCGGUCGUCGCGCAUCGAGGGCUCGAAAAAAUUGCCGGGCUCCGGCUCGGCUUUCAACGCGACCCCAGGUCAGGCGGGGUUACCCGCUGAAUUUAAGCAUAUCAAUAAGCGGAGGA
rnacentral:misc_RNA from 1 species